rnacentral:rRNA from 1 species
AAUGGGCGCAAGCCUGAUCCAGCCAUGCCGCGUGAGUGAUGAAGGCCCUAGGGUCGUAAAGCUCUUUCGCCUGUGAAGAUAAUGACGGUAGCAGGUAAAGAAACCCGGGCUAACUCCGUGCCAGCAGCCGCGGUAAUACGGAGGGGGUUAGUGUUGUUCGGAAUUACUGGGCGUAAAGCGCGCGUAGGCGGAUUAGUCAGUCAGAGGUGAAAUCCCAGGGCUCAACCCUGGAACUGCCUUUGAUACUGCUAGUCUUGAGUUCGAGAGAGGUAAGUGGAAUUCCGAGUGUAGAGGUGAAAUUCGUAGAUAUUCGGAGGAACACCAGUGGCGAAGGCGGCUUACUGGCUCGAUACUGACGCUGAGGUGCGAAAGUGUGGGGAGCAAACAGGAUU